UAAGCGACGGAGCAGUGAGUAUUAUUUAGUUUUGACUUGCUUAAUAGUAAUAAAUGUGUGUAUAAACAAUAAAAGAAAGGUGGCAGCCUAAGUUAGCUUGAGCUAGCGUGUAUCUUCAAAUGAAAAACAAGCAUCUAUGCUGAUAAACGGGGUCCGUUGUUAUGAAUACGAGUAACAAAUGUGUGUUAUGUUCAUACACUGAGUAAACGAGGGAGGAAAAAGAGGAACCCGCUCGGUUACAACAAAAACUCUUGGACACUCAGAAAGCUGGAAACUCAGUGACUACGUUUGAAAAACAGAAGUAGGAGGCUUUGAUAAAGCCAGAAAGGUCACAUACGGGAUUGUUGUGCGACCAAUAGGCAUCCAGCAGCAGGUUUAUUUUGGCAGGCUGACUGCGCAUGGCUACAGUCAAUAUGGAGACAUUACGGAGAGAAUUAGCGAACAAAUUGUGUUCACGUCAGAUAAAUAUGCCAGCCAGGCAGCAGCAUGGAGACUCAGAAACACUAUUCCCACACAGGACGCACAUGCUGUAACUUGCCGACUGCCAGCCAGACAGUAAACAAACCGGACAGGGGCCAAUGGGAACUCGAGAUCAUCGCUGUGACAUUUGGAAAGGACUGAAAACUGAGCGAGGUCCCGCCCACCAUUGACUUUGUACAGAGGCUGCUGGAGGAGGUCACAGACAUGGAAGCAGCCCAAACUUUGGAUGGGAAAUGGUCUGUGUCCUCAUCACCUGGACAUGUCACAGUAUACUUUUGAAAGUUUGUGUAUAGUUUAACAACUGAAAAUGUGCAGGGAUGUACAGUAGGUGCGGAAAAUGUAGCCAGUGUUUAAAACGACAAUGCAGCACAAUCACUGUCUCCUCCCCAUGUCAGCAAAUGCUAUGUUUAGAUUGCCAUCAUUAACUUUUCAUCAAUAUUUAGACUUCGUAUUGACAGCAAAAGGUUGCAUAUGAUUGAUGUUUUCCAAAAUGUUAAUGACAAAUGUUUAAAUCAGCAUUUUUGAUAUGAUAAAAUCAGAUUACGUUUACAUUCAGAUAUGUAUACUAACAUUGUACAUCUUGUAAAUAGUCAUGCAAUUGAAACACAUUUCAUUUAAAUAUGAAUACUUUUUAUCUAAGUAAUCAUCAGUAUUACAGUAGUUUUAAAUACCUAAAACAACACUACCUAAAGAUCUAUUAAUCCUGAAAUGAGUUGUACCUUCUGCAAUAAGACAGACUUAUGUACUUUCUAAUACAGCAUAAUAUAAUGUUUCCAUUUUUGCUGCAGUUUGUUAACACUAUAUCAGGAAGAGAGACAGGUAGGAAGACAGAGUAUGUAUAACAAAUGGGGCAGUAAAUCAGUCCUCUGGUAGAAACAGACAUUUAGUCCCUUAGGAAGUACCUUGCCAACAACAUAAACACAAACUGCUAACAACCAUACAUUGUUAUUCAAAGGACGUGCAAGACAUUAUUGUUGCUUUGGAGGACACCCUAUAUAUCCAUUUAAAGGUUGGUGCUAGAGCUACAAGUACUUCUGAACUUUAAAACGUAUUGUUUUUGUUUGUCAGUUCUGUUUUUAACAAAUAAAGUAAGUUGAUCUAUCA